rnacentral:lncRNA from 1 species
AAGCUAGAACCUGAAGGAUGACAUAAAGCAGAGUCUCUACCUCUAUGUCCAUCAUUCAAUAAAUAUUUAGUCAAUCCUAAUGUGUGCCAGGCAGCAUUCUUGCUGGGAACACAGCAUUAAACAAAACAGAACAAAACAGACUAAGUUCCUCUUCUCAUGAAGCAGGGGCACAGAUCAUGGAAACCACUAUCAGAACUUGGGAUUUCAUUUAUGUCCAAUGUGAGUCAGGCAUCUCUCCUGGUGGCUGUCUUCCAUGUGGUGACUUAUGUAUCCAGGAUCCUUCU